CGUGAAAUCCACCAAUGUUUUACAGCAAUUGGAUGACGAACGAAGAGUCGUUCGAGCUGUUUUGGCCGAUUUUGGUUUGGCACGUUUUCAUUCGGAUCUCAACGAAAGUACGGCUCUGGCCUAGCAGCCGCGGUAGGUAACCACGGCUAUGUCGAUCCUUUGUAUGCAGAGAGUUCAACCUACAGACGGGCCGGCCGUUUUGCAUGUCCUUCACGCUUGAAGGUCGCGGGGAAUAUUACGUUAAACUGUCAAUGCGGUGGUGUAGAGAUUGGGUGAGAAUGAAACGUGUUGCAUCAUUAUCAAGCAGACCCAUCCCCAGCAACGUCAACCUAAAGAAGGAAAGGCCAUUUUUCAUUU